UACGAAGGGGGGCUAGCGUUGCUCGGAAUCACUGGGCGUAAAGCGCACGUAGGCGGACUCUUAAGUCAGGGGUGAAAUCCUGGAGCUCAACUCCAGAACUGCCUUUUGAUACUGGGAGUCUUGAGUUCGGGAGAGGUGAGUGGAACUGCGAGUGUAGAGGUGAAAUUCGUAGAUAUUCGCAAGAACACCAGUGGCGAAGGCGGCUCACUGGCCCGAUACUGACGCUGAGGUGCGAAAGCGUGGGGAG
rnacentral:rRNA from 1 species